CAAAUUAAAGCUUUAAAAGCAUUUUAUUUACACUAAAAAGAUUAUUGUUGAAUUCAAUAUAAUUUGA
rnacentral:tRNA from 1 species